GACGAACGCUGGCGGCGUGCUUAACACAUGCAAGUCGAACGGAAAGGCCUCUUUCGGGGGGUACUCGAGUGGCGAACGGGUGAGUAACACGCGAGUAAAUUGCCCUUGUCUUUGGGAUAACUUCCGGCAACUGGGGCUAAUACCGGAUAGGAGCUCUUGUUGCACGGAGGGGGCUGGAAAGUUUCGGGGGUUGGGGAUUGACUCGCGGCUUAUCCGCUUGUUGGUGGGGUAGUGGCUAACCAAGGGUUUGUCGGGUAGACGGCCUGUGAGGGUGACCGGCCACAUUGGGACUGAGGUGCGGCCCAGGUUCCUACGGGAGGGAACAGUGGGGAAUAUUGCACGAUGGGUGGAAGCCUGAUGCAGCAGCGCCGUGGACGGGAAGACGGCCUUCGGGUUGAAAACCGCAUUCGCUCGUGACGAAGCUUUGUGUGACGGUAGUGGGUAAAGAAGCACCGGCUAACUACGUG
rnacentral:rRNA from 1 species